CUCCAGGCUGGAACGAGGAGCUGCUCUGCUGCUGUCCUCUUGGUGACUUUCACAUCAAAAAUAUUUGGAUAGCUGCUUCAUUCAGAUUUCUGCAGAUCGCUUUGAUUUUUUGACAACACGAAUGUUGCAUAAUGCAUGAAAAGGCUGCUGCACAGACAAGACUCGGUUGGUGUACGCUGGGCAGAACUUUGACCCAGGGAGCCUGUUCUGUACUGUUCACUGGAUGGAUUCAGAAGAAAACUUCAGAUUGGUAACAGGGGAUCCCAGAAGACAUGCUAAGGGGUUAGGGUCCCAGUCAGACCUCCCGUUGGUAUACGCUGGGCAGAAGUUUGACCCAGGGAGCCUGUUCUGAGCCUUCCACUGGACUUGGAUGAAAACUUUAAUGAACUGUAAUAACUAACAGAAAUAACCACAAUUCAAUUACCUAAAAUAACUGACUGAAAUAACCCUAAAUAAUAUAUAUAUAUAUAUAUAUAUAUAUAUAUUUAUUUGUGUGUGUGUGUAUAUAUAUAUAUAUAUAUAUAUAUAUAUUUAUUGAUAUUUAUAAAAUGUAUGUUUUAUAAUGACAGAAAUCUCAGUAACAUCAUUAGACCCAUUAGAUCACAUGAACGUGCGUUAUUUCCCAAUGUCAGUACAUCACUGCCUCACUGACAUCAGCAUAUCCCCGCCUCACUGACAGCAGCACAUAUCUGCCUCACUGACAGCAGAACAUCAACAUCUUACUGACAGGAGCACAUCCCUGCCUCACUGACAGCAACACUUCCCAGCCUCACUGACAGCAGCACAUCACUCCCUGCCUCACUGACAGCAGCACAUCACUCCCCGCCUCACUGACGGCAGCACAUCCCCGCCUCGCUGACAGAAGCACAUCCCUGCCUCACUGACAGCAGCGCAUCCCUGCCUCACUGACAGCAGCACAUCCCUGCCUCUCUGACAGCAGCACAUCCCCACCUCACUGACAGCAGCACAUCCUGGCCUCACUGACAGCAGCACAAUCCCUCCUCACUGACAGCAGCCCAUCCCUGCCUCACUGACAGCAGCACAUCCCUGCUUCACUGACAGCAGCGCAUCCCUGUCUCACUGACAGCAGCGCAUCCCUGUCUCACUGACAGCAGCACAUCCCUGCCUCUCUGGCAGCAGCACAUCCCUGCCUCACUGACAGCGGCACAUCCCUGACUCACUGACAGUGGCACAUCCCUUCCUCACUGACAGCAGCACAUCGCUUCCUCACUGACAGCAACCCAUCCCGGCCUCACUGACAGCAGCACAUCCCGGCCUCACUGACAGCAGCACAUCCCCGCCUCACUGACAGCAGCACAUCCCCGACUCACUGACAGCAGCACAUCCCCGACUCACGAACAGCAGCACAUCCCCGCCUCACUGACAGCAGCACAUCCCUUCCUCACUGACAGCAGCAUAUCCCUGACUCACUGACAGCAGCACAUCCCUGACUCACUGACAGCAGCACAUCCCUGCCUCACUGACAGCAGCCCAUCCCUGCCUCACUGACAGCAGCACAUCCCUGCCUCACUGACAGCAGCACAUCCCUGACUCACUGACAGCAGCACAUCCCCGCCUCACUGACAGCAGCACAUCCCUUCCUCACUGACAGCAGCACAUUCCUGCCCCACUGACAACAGCACAUUAUCUCCUCACUGACAGCAGCACAUCCCUUCCUCACUGACAGCAGCACAUCUCUUCCUCACUGACAGCAGCCCAUCCCUGCCUCACUGACAGCAGCACAUCCCCGCCUCACUGACAGCAGCACAUCCCUGCCUCACUUACAGCAAUACAUCCCUGCCUCACUGACAGCAGCACAUCCCCGCCUCACUGACAGCAGCACAUCCCUGCCUCACUGACAGCAGCACAUCCCUGCCUCACUGACAGCAGCACAUCCCUGCCUCACUGACAGCAGCACAUCCCCGCUUCAGUGACAGAGACAUAAUUCAAACAUUUCUUGCACCUGCUUCUAAAUUUUAAAAUGUAAACAAAAUUCUUGGAGAAAAAUAUUACAAUAAGAAGAAAAAAAGUAAAAUUAUGUCAAAGUAUGAAUACACUUGUUAGUGUGUUAUUCCCAUUAUUAUAAACAUUAAAGGUUUUGGAGAUAUGCACACACAUUACCAUAAUCUUAAUAAUAAAUUACAAUAAAAAUUGAACCACAAAGCAUAGUCUCCUUACAUUUGAUUAUGGGUCCACAAUCCCUAUUUCAGCUUUGUGAUGACUAAAUUAGAGUAAAGAGAAAGACAAAUUAAAUUUCUUUUUAAAAGGAAUCUGAAAACAUGUUACAAGUUCCCCUGGGGUCAGCUCACCACACAGCUACUACAGUAAGUGGCCAGGUUAUUCAAAAAUAAAA